rnacentral:rRNA from 1 species
GAUGAACGCUAGCUACAGGCUUAACACAUGCAAGUCGCGGGGCAGCAUGGGGGUUGCUUGCCAUCCCCGAUGGCGACCGGCGCACGGGCGAGUAACGCGUAUCCAACCUGCCCUUCACCACGGGAUAACCCGGCGAAAGUCGGACUAAUACCGUAUGUUGUCCAUUGACGGCAUCCGAUUUGGACGAAAGGCUUGGCGGUGAGGGAUGGGGAUGCGUCCGAUUAGCCAGACGGCGGGGUAACGGCCCACCGUGGCUACGAUCGGUAGGGGUUCUGAGAGGAAGGUCCCCCACACUGGAACUGAGACACGGUCCAGACUCCUACGGGAGGCAGCAGUGAGGAAUAUUGGUCAAUGGGCGUAAGCCUGAACCAGCCAAGUAGCGUGCAGGAUGACGGCCCUAUGGGUUGUAAACUGCUUUUAUGCGGGGAUAAAGUGGCCCACGUGUGGGCUUUUGCAGGUACCGCAUGAAUAAGGACCGGCUAAUUCCGUG